rnacentral:sRNA from 1 species
GUUGUUUGCUUAGUUGUGACCCACAUCCCUUCCUACCACCACCCACCAAGUAGAUCCAGAGAUUUGGCAAACGAAACAACCCAGGCCACUGAGGCAGGCCGCCCUCUGCCCUCAUGCUUCUCUUUCUGUCUGGCAGCUGGUUAAAGGUGACCGAUUACAUCGCAGAGAAGACUCUACCUGUGUUCCAGCCGGGAGUCAAGGUGGGCUCAAGACCAGGGCUGGGAAGGGGUGUCUGGCAGACGGGAUACUUUUUGUCAUGUCUCUGGGAAAAAGUGGACAAGCAUGCCUCUGGGAUCAGAGAGCAAAGGAUGCAUGUGGCCAUUGGGACACAGGAGACAGGCCCAGACCAAGGGUGUUUGGGGAAGAGUGGGGGCAGGCCGCUGUGCUCUGAAGUGAGCUUUCUCUGCCAUCUCUCCUGGCUUCCUAGCUCCGGGAUAAGGAGCGGCAGAUUAUCAAGGAGCGUUUUAAGGGCUUCAAUGAUGGCCUCGAAGAACUGUGCAAGAUCCAGAAGGCCUGGGCUAUUCCAGACACAGAGCAGAGGGACAGGAUUCGCCAGGCCCAGAAGACCAUUGUCAAGGAGACCUACGGAGCCUUUCUACAGAAGUUUGGCAGCGUGCCCUUCACCAAGAACCCGGAGAAGUACAUCAAGUACGGGGUGGAGCAGGUGGGCGAUAUGAUCGAUCGCCUUUUCGACACCUCUGCCUGAGCCUGCUGCUUGCCCUGCCUGGUUCCACCAGACUGGCGUGUCAUUGGACAGAUAAACCAGUGUUAACUUGCCUCUGGGCUGGGUGAGCUUGAAGUCCUUUGGGACAGAGACCUGUCUCCACCACCCCAUCCAGGAGCCGUGUCCCUGAGCCCUCUAGUCCUGGUUUCCGCUUUUUCCCCACAGCCUGUGUUCCCAGCUGAACCAGCACUCUCCCGGAAGCCUGGGGUCCCUUCACACCUUGGCUUUUAUGACCCUGAUGGCUUCUGAAACAGGAAAAGAGAGACGGAAGACAGAGGCCUGUGCCCACUGCUGCCCCAUGUGUACCAAGAGCAGCAGGGCAGAACGGCCCUACCUCCAGCCUAGGUCAGAGGUGGGGACGGAGAACUCCCCUACAGCCCAGAGAUGUGGUAGGGCUCAGAGAAGCAGCCAGAGCACCUGGAGGAAAGGCAGUCAGGAUUGACCCCCCUCUCUUAAAACACAUUCCCGCCUGCCCACAGGCCUGAGGGUCUGGGACCUUUCCCUCCCGGGAGUCCCCUAGGUGGCUGGGGGAGGCAGGCUCACUGGCCAUUUUCCCUAGAGUCCAGCACACUGCAGGAGGCAUUCGGAGGAGGAGUUCCGCCCCACCCUCUGCAUUCUUCCUCAGGCCUCUGUCUCUGGUCCCCAGCCUCAGUGCCUCUUGGCCCAGGGCCAAGCAGUUGUGGUUGCAGAAGGAGCAAUUAGGCUGCCUGCCUGUGGACUGGGAGACGGGGACAGUGGGGAAAAGUUAAGGAGCAAAGUGGGGGUUAGAAGCAAAAAAUAGGGCCCCACCUAUUUAGGACGAGAAUGAAGACUGACCUUUGAGGCACACUUGCACUGGAGAUGGCUUUAUUUCACACUCUGUGCUUGUGUGCUAGCAGAGGGAGGGCUCAGGGUGGCUUAAUCCAGAGACCCUGUCAUGGCCCUCCCCCAGCCAUGGGAAAGCAAACUUCAUCCUAAUGUGUGCAGCCCAGGCCCUGCCCCUUUACAGUCUAGGCCGCCUGCCAUGGGGUGCAGCCUCUCCAGGGGCUGCGUCAGACUUGCACGCUGCCCACAUCCAGAUUCCUGCAAAGACGAAUUUGCUGCACAGCACCCCAACCACAUACACGAGGAAGAAGAUGCGGUCAGCAGUCUCAGGCCAGCUUCUCUGUGACCCCUUUACUCUUCUGGGGGGCUCUGUGGGGAGAGAUACAGGGAAAGGAGCUGUUCUUCAAGGUCCCCCCAACAUGAGCAGAAGAGCGAACCCCAGGGGUCAUCAGCCUGUAUCGCUUCCUUUCUUAGAUUCUCAGCUGAUGAAAAUUUGGGUCUGGCCCAUUUCAGGCCAUCUUCAGUUGAAGAAACACCCUCUUAGGCUGUGCAAGGCGUGGGUUAUCAGGGGAUUGAGGUCACCUGGGACUUCAGGGAGGCUAAGCUUGCUUCCUGCCCCAGACCUGUUUCUUCUAAGGAGGACAUGGUGGAGACCAGGGACAGGACAGCCAGCAGGGUGGAUGCAAGGAGCCUCUACGCACGCCUGGACCCCGGCGCCCUCACCCCAGCCCUGGGUGUGCACCUAGGCCUCAUUCCUUACCCCCCAGCCCCUGCCCACCUUCAGCAGGAUGAGGCCCUGGGUUGCCGUGCUCUCGCUGUUCCCCUCUCGGGACUGGGCUGGGGCCACUCUUGGCCCCAAGGCUGCCCCAGGCCAGCAGCCCAGCCAGCAGCACAGUCUCUAUGGUGCUGAGGAAGAGCAGCAGCAGCAGGAUGGUGAAGUAGUAAACUGGGGGAGGCAGGGCACGGGGAGAUGCUCAGGGGCCAGUCCCUGUGUCUCUGGUGCCCAGUGAGCUGAGCACCAGUGGGUGACCGGGGAGAAACAGGGCAGGCUGGGUAAGGGAGCAGGGCUUACUGAGCAGUGGGUUGCAGGAAGAGGAGCUGGGCAGGGCCUGCACCAGGGAGGAGUGGAAGACGAGGUAACCCAGCAGCAAUGUCACCUUGUAGCCUAUGCGCUCAAUGGCCCAGAGGGGCAGCAACCCCCCGCACACGUCAGCCAACAGCAGUGCCUCUGCAGGCACCAAGAGAGCGAUGAUGGACUUGAGUGCCGUGUUCUUCAGGCUCAGCUGGAAGGGGAAAAGUCAGGGCCUUCCAGGGGGAGGAAGGAGGUAGGCAUCGGUGGCAUGGGGCCUGGCCUCUGGCCGUGCAUCCUCACUCCCACCCGCCUCCAGCAGCCCUCUGUCGGCCUCCUCCCGAGUUGACUCACCAUCACCUGGAAGCAGGGCACCAGCUGCUGGGGUGGGACUUGGGUCUUCAGAUCAUAAACUACGUAUUCCCUCUUGACACUCACAAUCUCGUUCACCACGUGGGCCUGGAACUCUAACUCCAUCGCUGAGGGGUGGGAAUGAGAACUAUGAACCAGGAAGGAGAGAUCCCAGCUGCCAAGUCUGGGGGUAGCAGACUGGAGCCCAGGGGUGAUGGAGACUUUUGAUGGCUUUUGGCAGGGACAGACUUGGAGACAAAACCGAUCCAUAGAAGGGCUUCCCAAACCUUGUUUAGCAACAUCCCAAAUUGUCUCCAGUUAAAGGAAGGCCUUUAUCAGAUUCAUAGAUGAGCUUUCAUUGUAAAAAUAAAUGUACUUUGGACCACUU